CUGACUGCUAUCGGAUUGGUACUAAGCCAUGUGAGUCAUUGUAGCAAUACAAGGCAUACGGCUCAGUAACACGUAGUCAAUCUGCCCUAUGGACGUGGAUAACCUCGGGAAACUGAGAAUAAUCCGCGAUAGAUCAUAAUGCCUGGAACGGUUUAUGGUCCAAAUGAUUCGUCGCCAUAGGAUGGGACUGCGGCCUAUCAGCUUGUUGGUGAGGUAAUGGCCCACCAAGGCUAUUACAGGUACGGGCUCUGAGAGGAGAAGCCCGGAGAUGGGUACUGAGACACGGACCCAGGCCCUAUGGGGCGCAGCAGGCGAGAAACCUUUGCAAUGUGCGCAAGCACGACAAGGUUAAUCCGAGUGUUUCCUGCUAAAGGAAUCUUUUGUUAGUUCUAAAACCACUGAUGAAUAAGGGGUGGGCAAGUUCUGGUGUCAGCCGCCGCGGUAAAACCAGCACCUCAAGUGGUCAGGAGGAUUAUUGGGCCUAAAGCAUCCGUAGCCGGUUCUGUAAGUUUCCGGUUAAAUCCACUAGCUCAACUAAUGGGCUGCCGGAAAUACUGCAGAACUAGGGAGUGGGAGAGGUAGACGGUACUCGGGAGGAAGGGGUAAAAUCCUUUGAUCUCUUGAUGACCACCUGUGGCGAAGGCGGUCUACCAGAACACGUUCGACGGUGAGGGAUGAAAGCUGGGGGAGCAAACCGGAUUAGAUACCCGGGUAGUCCCAGCUGUAAACGAUGCAGACUCGGUGAUGCACUGGCUUUUGGCCAGUGCAGUGCCGCAGGGAAGCCGUUAAGUUUGCCGCCUGGGAAGUACGUACGCAAGUAUGAAACUUAAAGGAAUUGGCGGGGGAGCACCACAAGGGGUGAAGCCUGCGGUUCAAUUGGAGUCAACGCC
rnacentral:rRNA from 1 species